rnacentral:tRNA from 1 species
GGGGUUGUAGCUCAGUGGUAGAGCGCUUGCCUAGCAGGUGUGAGACACUGAGUUUGAUCCUCAGCACCA